rnacentral:lncRNA from 1 species
GGGACUCUGACCAAAUUUAUCAAGGUGGAGUGGAGUUUCCUGAACCACCAAAGAAAUAAGAAUCCUAAAAGGCCUUUUCAGAAAUUGAAUGACUCUUGAGAAAUCUCCUCACUUGACUGUUUUGCCCCAGGAAAAUUAACAUUGCAUUAUCCUACCUACUCUCUCCUACCCUGUUUUGAAAAGCUGCAUCAUGAGCAGAGCAGGGAUUCCUGCUUGUCACCUCCUCCUGUCCUACCACGACUUCUGUCUUCCUAGCAAAAUGCGUCAAACACCUUGAGACAGGAGUGUUUCAGCACAGAUGUAUGGCACUGAAGGCUGCAAGUUCCCUGACUUCGGGGGCUCCUAUCUCAUUGAGAGAAUAAGACACAAAAACAGAUCAUCUCGACUGUAAGAACCUUGAGAUCCUGAAUCCCCAGGGAUGCCGCGGCUCCUCUCGUGUGCUGCCGGGCAGGGCACUGGUGCAGGAGCUCCUAUUUUCAUGAGGAAGUCUGCCACUCCAGUUUGCCCAAAGUUGGCCAUCAAGGAAUGGGGUGCUCCGAGGGGCCCUCAGUCUGUCGUCUCUCUGGGCUGUCCCGCAGGAGCUCCACAGGUCACCGGUUGCACCUUGAAAAUGUUUGCUCUCCUAAGCGUCUCUUCUCCAGCCUCUAGUUAA